GACAGAGGUGCCGAGCGUUAGGCGGAAUCACUGGGCUUAAAGCGUGUGUAGGCGGGCGGGCAAGUACCUUGUGAAAUCCCACGGCUCAACCGUGGAACGACUGGGUAUACUGCCUGUCUUGAGCCAACUAGGGGCGAGCGGAACAGACGGUGGGAGCGGUGAAAUGCGUUGAGAUCGGAAGGAACGCCCGUGGCGAAAGCGAGGUCCUGGACGCCUAACUGAGCUGAGACGCGAAAGCCAGGGGAGCGAACGGG
rnacentral:rRNA from 1 species